rnacentral:rRNA from 1 species
UACGGCGAGUGAAGCGGCAAAAGCUCAAAUUUGAAAUCUGGUACCUUCGGUGCCCGAGUUGUAAUUUGGAGAGGGCAACUUUGGGGCCGUUCCUUGUCUAUGUUCCUUGGAACAGGACGUCAUAGAGGGUGAGAAUCCCGUGUGGCGAGGAGUGCGGUUCUUUGUAAAGUGCCUUCGAAGAGUCGAGUUGUUUGGGAAUGCAGCUCUAAGUGGGUGGUAAAUUCCAUCUAAAGCUAAAUAUUGGCGAGAGACCGAUAGCGAACAAGUACAGUGAUGGAAAGAUGAAAAGAACUUUGAAAAGAGAGUGAAAAAGUACGUGAAAUUGUUGAAAGGGAAGGGCAUUUGAUCAGACAUGGUGUUUUGUGCCCUCUGCUCCUUGUGGGUAGGGGAAUCUCGCAUUUCACUGGGCCAGCAUCAGUUUUGGUGGCAGGAUAAAUCCAUAGGAAUGUAGCUUGCCUCGGUAAGUAUUAUAGCCUGUGGGAAUACUGCCAGCUGGGACUGAGGACUGCGACGUAAGUCAAGGAUGCUGGCAUAAUGGUUAUAUGCCGCCCGUCU